UAGGGAAUUUUCCACAAUGGGCGAAAGCCUGAUGGAGCAACGCCGCGUGAGGGAUGAAGGUUUUCGGAUCGUAAACCUCUUUGGAGCGGGAAGAACGGCUCGUGGGUGAAUAAUCCGCGGGCGUGACGGUACCGCUAGAACAAGACACGGCUAACUUCGUGCCAGCAGCCGCGGUAAUACGAGGGUGUCAAACGUUGUCCGGAAUUAUUGGGCGUAAAGGGCGCGUAGGCGGCCAAGUAAGUCAGAUGUGAAAUCGCUGGGCUCAACCCAGCAAUUGCAUUUGAAACUGCUAGGCUAGAGAUCGGUAGAGGAGGGCGGAAUUCCUGGUGUAGCGGUGAAAUGCGUUGAUAUCAGGAGGAACACCCGUGGUGAAGGCGGCUCUCUGGACCGAUUCUGACGCUGAGGCGCGAAAGCUAGGGGAGCAAACAG
rnacentral:rRNA from 1 species